rnacentral:rRNA from 1 species
CAUUCUUUUAGUUUGAGAGCGGUUAGUGGCGGACUGGUGAGUAACACGUAAGCAACCUGCCUAUCAGAGGGGAAUAACAGUGAGAAAUCAUUGCUAAUACCGCAUAUGCUAACAGUAUCGCAUGAUACAGUUAGGAAAGGAGUAAUCCACUGGUAGAUGGGCUUGCGUCUGAUUAGCUAGUUGGUGGGGUAACGGCCUACCAAGGCGACGAUCAGUAGCCGGACUGAGAGGUUGAACGGCCACAUUGGGACUGAGAUACGGCCCAGACUCCUACGGGAGGCAGCAGUCGGGAAUAUUGCGCAAUGGAGGAAACUCUGACGCAGUGACGCCGCGUAUAGGAAGAAGGUUUUCGGAUUGUAAACUAUUGUCGUUAGGGAAGAUACAAGACAGUACCUAAGGAGGAAGCCCCGGCUAACUAUGUGCCAGCAGCCGCGGUAAUACAUAGGGGGCAAGCGUUAUCCGGAUUUAUUGGGUGUAAAGGGUGCGUAGACGGAGAAACAAGUUGGUUGUGAAAUCCCUCGGCUCAACUGAGGAACUGCAACCAAAACUAUUUCCCUUGAGUGUCGGAGAGGAAAGUGGAAUUCCUAGUGUAGCGGUGAAAUGCGUAGAUAUUAGGAGGAACACCAGUGGCGAAGGCGACUUUCUGGACGAUAACUGACGUUGAGGCACGAAAGUGUGGGGAGCAAACAGGAUUAGAUACCCUGGUAGUCCACACUGUAAACGAUGGAUACUAGGUGUAGGGUGUAUUAAGCACUCUGUGCCGCCGCUAACGCAU